rnacentral:rRNA from 1 species
CUCCGGUUGAUCCUGCCGGACCCGACUGCUAUCAGAGUGGGACUAAGCCAUGCGAGUCAACAUAGCAAUAUGUGGCAUACGGCUCAGUAACACGUAGUCAACAUGCCCAGGGGACGUGGAUAACCUCGGGAAACUGAGGAUAAACCGCGAUAGGUCAUCACUUCUGGAAUGGGUAAUGACUUAAAUCUAUAUGGCCCCUGGAUUGGACUGCGGCCGAUCGGGCUGUUGGUGAGGUAAUGGCCCACCAAACCUGUAACCGGUACGGGCUCUGAGAGGAGGAGCCCGGAGAUGGGCACUGAGACAAGGGCCCAGGCCCUAUGGGGCGCAGCAGGCGCGAAACCUCUGCAAUAGGCGAAAGCUUGACAGGGUUACUCUGAGUGAUUUCCGCUAAGGGAAUCUUUUGGCACCUCUAAAAAUGGUGCAGAAUAAGGGGUGGGCAAGUCUGGUGUCAGCCGCCGCGGUAAUACCAGCACCCCGAGUGGUCGGGACGAUUAUUGGGCCUAAAGCAUCCGUAGCCGGUCCUGCAAGUCUUCCGUUAAAUCCAGCUGCUCAACAGAUGGGCUGCGGGAGAUACUACAGGGCUAGGAGGCGGGAGAGGCAAGCGGUACUUUAUGGGUAGGGGUAAAAUCCGCUGAUCCAUAGAAGACCACCAGUGGCGAAGGCGGCUUGCCAGAACGCGCUCGACGGUGAGGGAUGAAAGCUGGGGGAGCAAACCGGAUUAGAUACCCGGGUAGUCCCAGCUGUAAACGAUGCAGACUCGGUGAUGGGUUGGCCUCGCGCCUGCCCAGUGCCGCAGGGAAGCCGUUAAGUCUGCCGCCUGGGGAGUACGGUCGCAAGACUGAAACUUAAAGGAAUUGGCGGGGGAGCA